rnacentral:rRNA from 1 species
UACGUAGGGUGCAAGCGUUGUCCGGAUUUAUUGGGCGUAAAGAGCUCGUAGGCGGUCUGUCGCGUCGGAUGUGAAAACCCAGGGCUCAACCCUGGGCCUGCAUUCGAUACGGGCAGACUAGAGUGUGGCAGGGGAGACUGGAAUUCCUGGUGUAGCGGUGAAAUGCGCAGAUAUCAGGAGGAACACCGGUGGCGAAGGCGGCUCUCUGGGACGGUACUGACGCUGAGACGCGAAAGCGUGGGGAGCGAACAGG